rnacentral:rRNA from 1 species
AACGAACGCUGGCGGCAGGCUUAACACAUGCAAGUCGAGCGCCUCGCAAGGGGAGCGGCAGACGGGUGAGUAACGCGUGGGAACAUGCCCAAAGGUACGGAACAACUCCGGGAAACUGGAGCUAAUACCGUAUGUGACCGAGAGGUGAAAGAUUUAUCGCCUUUGGAUUGGCCCGCGUUGGAUUAGCGAGUUGGUGGGGUAAAGGCCUACCAAGGCGACGAUCCAUAGCUGGUCUGAGAGGAUGAUCAGCCACACUGGGACUGAGACACGGCCCAGACUCCUACGGGAGGCAGCAGUGGGGAAUAUUGGACAAUGGGCGCAAGCCUGAUCCAGCCAUGCCGCGUGUGUGAUGAAGGCCUUAGGGUUGUAAAGCACUUUCGCCAGGGACGAUAAUGACGGUACCUGGAUAAGAAGCCCCGGCUAACUUCGUGCCAGCCGCCACAGUAACAC